UACGAGGGGGGCAAGCGUUGUUCGGAAUUAUUGGGCGUAAAGGGCGCGUAGGCGGUCUGAUAAGUCUUGUGUGAAAUCUCUGGGCUCAACCCAGAGUCUGCAUAGGAAACUGUCGGGCUUGAGUAUGGGAGAGGUGCGUGGAAUUUCCGGUGUAGCGGUGAAAUGCGUAGAUAUCGGAAGGAACACCUGUGGCGAAAGCGGCGCACUGGACCAAAAACUGACGC
rnacentral:rRNA from 1 species